ACAAAGUGGAGCCUUGAUGUGCUCAACAUAAUAAAUACAUCAAUAAAAAUGCUACUUUUGAUGUGCAUUUCAUAUUAAAUUAGACUGAAUCCCAAAUCAUUUACAGUUCAAACUGGUUGCCUGACCUUCAGGUUGGAUCUAGUUUUCACCUUAACUAAACUGUCACACCCAUUUAAUGUUAAUGAUCCGUACUCACCUGUUAGCAGCACAUUGUUAUUCACUGGUGCUGAUCGAUUGAAGAGUGUGGUUUGACUAAGGUUUGCAUUUUUAGUUGGUUCAAACUUAUACGUUUAUAAAUAAAGGUUAAUAAAAGUUGGAAGAGGAGGUUUCACACCAACACAAAACUCAAAAUCUUAGAAGAUAUUUUGUGGGGUUUAAGUGUGUUUUUGUUUGGUGUAAUACCUGAAAGUCACAGUAGGUGGCAUCAUGUGAUUAAAAUGUGAUUAAAAGGAGUCAGAGGUAACUUCUCAGCAGGUGUGCUGAUUGCGCCGCCGGAAACGCGCAAUUUUUGACCAUCGUCGUUGCUGUUUGUUGUUGAAUAAUUGCGGCAAUUACUUGAAGCUUUUAGUUGGACUAAGUUAACACUGUAAGUGUGCAAUAUACAAUUUCGCAUCUUGUUGGAGAGCGCAAGAUCAAUAAAAGAUCAGAAGAACAGCAGGUGUUCGUUCAUUGGGUCCACGAAGUGCCACUCAGCAGCCUGCCAGUGGCUUAGGUUAGUUUUGUUUUCUUUAUGAAGAACAAGACACUAUAUUCAUAAGUCAGAAACUGCGCUUCAAUUAGGAGCCUUAGUCAGUUACGCAGAGGACACAGCACGGAGGAUGAGAAAGAAGGACGAGUUCCUGGACGAAACUAUCAGCUGAUUCAUCCGACGGGGACUCCAUCACUUCUGGCGCCCAUCGCUGGCAGCGAGAACAAUCAUAAACAUGAAAUCCACCCUGACUCCUGUGUUCCUCAUCUGGACUUUGUGGACUGGCCCGCAACAACUAAACAGCCGCUUCACUUCUCUUUUGGAAAAGUGGACUGGGAACGGCCCGGAAAACACGGUGCACAUGUC